GUCCGUGGUUGCUCUCGUGGUGGCCGCCGUGGGUGCGAGCCCGUGCCCCCGCGUGCUGUGCUGCUCUUUUCCUGCGGUGGAGGAGAGGAGGGGGAGGGGAGCACCAGAGGAGGAGGCGGGAGGGUGUGGGUUUUUCGAGAUCCCUUUGGGGGUGCGCGCGCGGACCACGGCCUAGCCUAGCCCCUACACCCUCAGCCACCGCGAGUGCGACCGGCCGCGGCGGCCGUUGUCGUAGCCGUUCCAGGAGGUCUUCUUCCCGUGGGUGUAGGAGGGCGGGGAGAGGAAGUUCGAGUUCCAGUAUGCCCCGAUGCGCGAGUUGUCCGAGACCUAGUCGCCGAAGGAGGACCUGUACACGCCGCGGCGGGAGUACGAGUGACGCGAGAGCGUCCGCGGCCAGAGACAGCACGUCGGCUAACGGCCGACGCCGGAGCGGUAUGAGACGCAGAAGAGGGUAAAAAUGGAGUUCCUCCAGUACUUACCGGAACUAACCGAACGGUAGUGUUACCGGCCAGAGCCGUGGUAUCCUCAGCCACAUCCUCCCCUCCUCGUCUUUCACCUUCUCUAAGGGGAAAAGUCAUAUGGAACCGACCACGAGUGGCAAGAGUAGAACAAACAAGACGAGUUGUGAACCGAAGUAUAGAUGUUUUUCGUUUCCGCGCUUGUUCUCAACUGACCUGGACUUCACUAGCUCCUCCAGUAUAUGCCGAAUCUUAGUCCGUAAAACAAACCCUAAAGUAGUCACUAGAGAUUCUACCCUAAACACUACAGACUUUACCCGAAAGGCUUCUAACAACACGGUCGACGGUAAAGAACAUCACACCGGACGUCACGACACCCUAAACAAAUGGUCUGAGCUCCAGAGUUCGUACCCUCCCGUUAACAACACAGGUGCACAUGUAGCCACCGUAGAUAACACAGACCACAACACCGACCAUACCAACGUGAACUGCUUGUAGACGGCUGUCGAGGACGUCCUGCAAAAAAAGAGGACGAACCUACCAAGAAGUAAUAAUGCCCCCACUAUGAAGAACAAUGAAGUUGGGCUAACUAACGCGCGGAUGGAUUCGGACACGUCUUCAAAAACUUCUCAUUAUACCUCGCAAGUGUGUCGUAGUCCUCCGGACCUGGUCGGGCUCCCUUCCUAGGGUUGGUUUCGUGUUGUUAGGUACGUAGCUGUAAUGUAUAUGAUUGGAGAUGUCCUUUUCUCUUCCGGAUCUUGUCGACGACCAUCUCGUUCUAACAGAAUUGUGGAAACUACCCAGUACAACAGCAAAUUUAGUAAUACACCUACAUGUUCAGAUCUCAUCGUAGAAUUUUCAAACCCGGCCAACGAGUAUAUGACUGACGGGAACAAUAUCCAGAUUGUCUUCAAACCUUUUAGAGGACACUUAAAACCAGUUCAAUGUAUAGUAGGACACCACUCAACAUUCACCAUAUAAGUAAACAAGAGAAGGGAAAGCUUAGAACACAAACGUACAAACACGAAGCGAACGUCGUGAUAAUAGAAAACGAAACUCUUACGCACCCUUCCCCGUACAUACAGUACAAACCUACAAAACUCGAUGAACUAUGUCUUAAGAACUAUACACAUUGUGGGGCCACAUUAUUACGAUGUCAUUGAGAACCCCAAUUCAAUUAGAAAAACGAUUUGUACACG
rnacentral:rRNA from 1 species